rnacentral:rRNA from 1 species
GAUGAACGCUGGCGGCGUGCCUAAUACAUGCAAGUCGAGCGAACGGACGAGAAGCUUGCUUCUCUGAUGUUAGCGGCGGACGGGUGAGUAACACGUGGAUAACCUACCUAUAAGACUGGGAUAACUUCGGGAAUCCGGAGCUAAUACCGGAUAAUAUUUUGAACCGCAUGGUUCAAAAGUGAAAGACGGUCUUGCUGUCACUUAUAGAUGGAUCCGCGCUGCAUUAGCUAGUUGGUAAGGUAACGGCUUACCAAGGCAACGAUGCAUAGCCGACCUGAGAGGGUGAUCGGCCACACUGGAACUGAGACACGGUCCAGACUCCUACGGGAGGCAGCAGUAGGGAAUCUUCCGCAAUGGGCGAAAGCCUGACGGAGCAACGCCGCGUGAGUGAUGAAGGUCUUCGGAUCGUAAAACUCUGUUAUUAGGGAAGAACAUAUGUGUAAGUAACUGUGCACAUCUUGACGGUGCCUAAUCAGAAAGCCACGGCUAACUACGUG